CUUCCAGCCAGUCUGGAGGCAACCGUAACAGUCCCCUCUCACAAUAUUACUACAGACAUGGCUACCGGCCUGGGUAUGUAAGUUGAGAGGCGGGGGUACCAACAUCUGGGCCUGCAAUAAGGCAUGCAUAAAAAACUUUUGGUAAGCAAGCUAGACAUAACUCCCAUGGCAAAUACCUGGGUUUUAUUCAUGAAUAUGGACAUGGUAGAGGUAGGGAAAUCAGUGUCAUCUCCAGAAGUCAGCCAUAGGGGAGAACCCUACAGGGAUCUGAAGAGAAGCCUCUGAUACAGAAUAUACAGGCAGGUCCUUAUCAGACUGCAUAGUAACCAAAACAGGAGUUUAAUAGCCCACAGAAUAAAAGUUUGACACCCAAAUAAGCAAACCACCUAAAU